rnacentral:rRNA from 1 species
AACGAACGCUGGCGGCAUGCCUAACACAUGCAAGUCGAACGAAGCCUUCGGGCUUAGUGGCGCACGGGUGCGUAACGCGUGGGAAUCUGCCCCUUGCUUCGGAAUAACAGUUAGAAAUGACUGCUAAUACCGGAUGAAGUCUUCGGACCAAAGAUUUAUCGGCAAGGGAUGAGCCCGCGUAGGAUUAGGUAGUUGGUGGGGUAAAGGCCUACCAAGCCGACGAUCCUUAGCUGGUCUGAGAGGAUGAUCAGCCACACUGGGACUGAGACACGGCCCAGACUCCUACGGGAGGCAGCAGUGGGGAAUAUUGGACAAUGGACGCAAGUCUGAUCCAGCAAUGCCGCGUGAGUGAUGAAGGCCUUAGGGUUGUAAAGCUCUUUUACCAGGGAUGAUAAUGGCAGUACCUGGAGAAUAAGCUCCGGCUAACUCCGUG